GUACACGCUGUGACUAGCAUAUCAAUAAGCGGAGGAAAAGAAACUAACAAGGAUUCCCUUAGUAACGGCGAGUGAAGCGGGAAGAGCUCAAAUUUGAAAUCUUGAAAGGUCACCUUUCACGAAUUGUAGUUUAAAGAAGUGUUUUCUGUUACGAUCGUAAUAUAAGUUCUUUGGAAUAGGACAUCACAGAGGGUGAGAAUCCCGUCUAUGAUUGCGAUUUGUAGCUUUGUGAUACACUUUCAAAGAGUCGGGUUGUUUGGGAAUGCAGCCCAAAACGGGAGGUAAAUUUCUUCUAAGGCUAAAUAUUGGCGAGAGACCGAUAGCGAACAAGUACCGUGAGGGAAAGAUGAAAAGAACUUUGAAAAGAGAGUUAAAUAGUACGUGAAAUUGUCAAAAGGGAAGCGUUUAACACCAGUGUUGUUUUCUGAAAAUCAACCUCUGUUAGCUUUAUGCAUGUUUGUUUAGACCUAAUCAGCUAUCUUUCAUGUUCUAUUGUUUGCAGUGGUGCACUUUUCAGUUUACAGGUCAACAUCAGUUUUUUUUACCGUAAAAAAGUUAAAGAAAGGUAGCUCAUGGCUCCGGUCGUGAGUGUUAUAGUCUUUUUCCUAUGCGGUAGGAGAGACUGAGGUCUGCAGUGUAGGCUAUUUGGCUAGAUACUCAGGUGCUAUGUGAUACCAUUUCAUAAACAACUUGUUGAUUAUGUUUUGUCUAUUGCAUACUCGCUUGUACUAUCAUACCUACGCUUAGGAUGUUGAGUAGCGACAUACGCAC
rnacentral:rRNA from 1 species